rnacentral:misc_RNA from 1 species
AACGCACAUUGCGCCUCUUGGUAUUCCUCGAGGCAUGCCUAUUCGAGCGUCGUUUCGACCUUCAAGCGCAAGCUUGGUGUUGGGAAUCGCCCCUGAAACACGGUGGCGGUCCUUGAAUCCAUCGGCGGUGCCGGUGCAGCCUGGAGCGCAGCAGCAAUGCAGCUUCCUUGGGCAGCCCGAAACCAGCCGGACGACCCUUUUUACUUUUUAACGUCGACCUCGAAUUAGGUAGGGAUACCCGCUGAACUUAA